GAUGAACGCUAGCUACAGGCUUAACACAUGCAAGUCGAGGGGCAGCGCAGUGUAGCAAUACAUGGGCGGCGACCGGCGCACGGGUGCGUAACGCGUAUCCAACCUUCCCGUUACUCAGGGAUAGCCUUCCGAAAGGGAGAUUAAUACCUGAUGGUGUUGAAAUUCCGCAUGUUAUUUCAACUAAAGAUUUAUCGGUAACGGAUGGGGAUGCGUGACAUUAGAUAGUAGGCGGGGUAACGGCCCACCUAGUCUACGAUGUCUAGGGGUUCUGAGAGGAAGGUCCCCCACACUGGUACUGAGACACGGUCCAGACUCCUACGGGAGGCAGCAGUGAUGAAUAUUGGUCAAUGGUCGGAAGACUGAACCAGCCAAGUAGCGUGAAGGAUGAAGGUUCUAUGGAUUGUAAACUUCUUUUAUACGGGAAUAAAACCUCCCACGUGUGGGAGCUUGUAUGUACCGUAUGAAUAAGCAUCGGCUAACUCCGUGCCAGCAGCCGCCGUAAUAC
rnacentral:rRNA from 1 species